GAAAGCCGUGUGCAAUGAAAAAUGCAAGCACGGUUUGGGGAGGGAUUUUUUUUUUCUUUUAAAUUUCAA
rnacentral:ribozyme from 1 species